rnacentral:ncRNA from 2 species
GCCUAAUGUAGAGGUGCUUUAAGUUAAGAGUAGUUGUUUUAGCUAGCAGGCAAUUAUAAACAGCGAAAGGAGCUUUUAGCCGAAGAUGAAUAAACUGGCAGGUUAGUCAUCUGGCUUUAUGCACAAUAUGUAUAAAGUUGUCGCUUGAGUUUUUUAAGUGGAGAGCUACAAGGUUC